rnacentral:lncRNA from 1 species
AGAAUCUAGAGAAUCAGGAGAAAGUAUAUAAGAGUUGUAGAAGAUAAUUAGGGAGCCAUUGCUGUAAUAGUUGUGAGCCGAGGUAAACUUAGUACUACUUCUUUUUCUUUUGUUUGUUAUUUUCUUUGAAUAAGAAGAUUGAGAAUUUCUGAAUAUUGUGAAGUGAAUUAUGGAAUGGAAAUGUGAUUGGUAUUAUUUGAGAAGAAGAAAGAUUGAAUGCUGAAAUCUAAUUGUAGUUCAGUAGAGAGAAUGAGUCUAUAUUUGUGUGAAACACCAUAAUGUGAAUGACAGUUCUGUGUGAAGAAUUCCAGUGAUUGAAAUAAGGGUAAUUGUGUGCUGAAAGUUGUGAGGGCACGGUAUUACAGUUAGAGAUUAUGAAGGUGAAUAUAUUGGUAGAAAUAGCAGUUAUUGGUAUGAUUGAAUUAUUGUAAGGAAGAGACCAAUAAGGUGAAGGAAGAGAUUAUAGGUUCCUUGUGUGUUUAAAUAUUGGAAAUAGAGAUGAUACAUUCAGGAGGUAAUUGAUUGUGUGACCCUAACGUGAACGCUUAAGCAACUAGUCAUUCUCCAUGUUCGAAUCCCCCUAUACGGGUUUAUUCCCAUUAGAUUAAUUUGGAAUAAGUAAAACGAGCUAUCACAAGUGUCUAUGAAGCUUCUA